rnacentral:rRNA from 1 species
UACGAAGGGGGCUAGCGUUGCUCUUCCUUACUGGGCGUAAAGGGAGCGUAGGCGGAUGUUUAAGUCAGAGGUGAAAGCCCAGGGCUCAACCUUGGAACUGCCUUUGAUACUGGACAUCUUGAGUGUGGGAGAGGUAAGCGGAACUCCGAGUGUAGAGGUGAAAUUCGUAGAUAUUCGGAAGAACACCAGUGGCGAAGGCGGCUUACUGGCCCAUUACUGACGCUGAGGCUCGAGAGCGUGGGGAGCAAACAGG